rnacentral:misc_RNA from 1 species
GUCGAUCACUUCUACAAGUGUCUUCGACCAUGGAGCUCCAUGUACAGAAAGCCUUGCUCACAGAGCUUAACAAGAGUGAGAAGGAUGUUCAAAUUAAGGGAGUCAAAGAAACCCCUGGAUCGAAGAAAGGGGAUAACUUUAUUUGUAAAAUAAAGGCUAUUUCUGUUGAAGCAGAGAUUGAGGGAGAAGUGAGGACCUUUGAGUACAUGUGUAAGUCCAUUGACGAGUCUAAAUCUGAAAUGAUGAAGAAAUGGCAUAUUUUCGAAAGGGAAUGCCGAUUUUAUUUGGAUUUAUUGCCACUCUUAGGCGAAGGAUUAAAAGUUCCAAGGCCCUACUACGUUUCCAAUGAACAAGGAGUUAUUUUUAUGGAGAAUCUCUGCAAAAAAAAAUAUGCUCUUUGCUCCGAAAAAAUUAAUAUGAGUCUUCAACACAUUGAGCUAAUGCUGAAUCAGCUCUCCAUACUCCAUGCUUCCUCACAUAAGCUUUUAAUAAACGUCCAGAUCAAGAAAAAGAUUUUGAACAUGUUCCAUAUGAAUGAAAAGAUGGACAUGGAGUCUUUGGACUUUAUUUUUUAUUCCUUGAUGAAAAGCAACGAAUCUGCACUUAUAUUUGGAGGUCGCUCAGAUUUGGCAGAUAAGUUAGGCCCUUUUAAAUCUCGAGUCCCAGAGAUUAGCAAGCAAUUUUACGAAAACAAGGAAUAUGAUUUUACUGUCAUUAACCAUGGAGACUGUUGGACCAAUAAUUUCCUCUUUAAAUAUGACGAAAACAAGGAAUUGGUGGAUAUCUGUGUCAUUGACUGGCAAAUGCUGCUCAUGAACACUCCGGUUAGAGAUGUAUCCCACGUACUGGGUACAUGUUUGGAUCCCUCAUACAGAAAAAAACAUUUGAAUUAUUUAUUAAAGUACUAUUAUGAACGUUUGAGUCUUCAUAUAGAAGAAGAAGGUCUGGAGAUAAAAGGAAUAUAUCCCUAUGAGAAGUUUUGUGGCGAAUAUAGAGAGUUUGAGGCACAUCGGUUUCUAUUACAGAGCACACUGAUCAGUAUCUUAUUUGGCGAGUUGCAUGCAAAUAAGCAAGAAGGGGACUACACCUUUGAAAUAUCUGACAAGGCCAUAAAUGAGGAACAAGAAAAAUCAUGUAAUCAAAUGGAGACACUGAGUCUCAAAAUGGCCCAAAAUAAUCCGGACUUCCUUAAAUUAAUCAUUGACAUCCAUGAAGAAGCCCUAGAAAAUAAGAUUUUAUAAAGAUUGUGUUCAAAAGAGAGAGAGAGAGAGAGAGAGAGAUGGAUGUCAAUAAUCUAUAUACUACAUAUGUGGGCUGUCAACAAUGAAUUUCUUAAUCUAUGCCGAAACCCCAUCAUUAUCACAAUAAAAGUGUGCAAGUGAGAUAUUAGAAAUGAAAAAAAGUUAAUGAGACGUGCAAAGCAUCAGAUAAAUCUACAAGGAGCACAAAUGUAUUAAUGGAAGCAAGUGCAACUAAUGAGGAAAAAAAACCUAAUUACGAAGAUUAAAUCGCUUUUGAUUACAUCUCCAAACUCUUCAUUAUUCCACAAAAAUAAUUAAUUAAUAUUUGUUAUUAUCAGCAAAAGGAAUGCGAGAAAGGUUAUGGGACUCUUUUUGAAAUAUUACGUACCUAACACUAAAUAAUGAAAUUGAAUUGUAACAAAUUUCACAAUAGCUCUACACAAAAUGAAAAAUAAUGAUAACUUUGUUGAAAGUUCGUUAAAUUA